AGAUGGGAAGCGUCGCCGGCAUCAGUCGCCCCCGCUGACGGCACUUUCCGGGGGACGGGCCAAAAGCCCGCCCCCUUGAGUUGCCUUCCGAUGGAAACAGCCCCCCUUCGUCGGAAGGAUUAGGGCGGUGGAGUCGCCCCAAGCUCCACCGCCCGCUUUU
rfam:Nitrobacter hamburgensis X14, complete genome.